GACAAACGCUGGCGGCGUGUAUUAGGCAUGCAAGUCGCACGGACCUUCGGGUCAGUGGCGGACGGGUGAGUAACACGUGGGUAACCUGCCUCGCAGUGGGGAAGUAAACCUCCCGAAACGGGAAGGCUAAUACCGCAUACCACUCCCGGUGCGACUCCGGGCAGUAAAAGACAGCAAUGCGCUGUGAGAGGGGCCCGGCGGCCGAUUAGCUUGUUGGUGGGGUAACGGCCUACCAAGGCGACGAUCGGUAGCUGGUCUGAGAGGAUGGUCAGCC
rnacentral:rRNA from 1 species